CGGGACACGUGGUAUCCUGUCUGAAUAUGGGGGGACCAUCCUCCAAGGCUAAAUACUCCUGACUGACCGAUAGUGAACCAGUACCGUGAGGGAAAGGCGAAAAGAACCCCGGCGAGGGGAGUGAAAAAGAACCUGAAACCGUGUACGUACAAGCAGUGGGAGCACGCUUAGGCGUGUGACUGCGUACCUUUUGUAUAAUGGGUCAGCGACUUAUAUUCUGUAGCAAGGUUAACCGAAUAGGGGAGCCGAAGGGAAACCGAGUCUUAACUGGGCGUUAAGUUGCAGGGUAUAGACCCGAAACCCGGUGAUCUAGCCAUGGGCAGGUUGAAGGUUGGGUAACACUAACUGGAGGACCGAACCGACUAAUGUUGAAAAAUUAGCGGAUGACUUGUGGCUGGGGGUGAAAGGCCAAUCAAACCGGGAGAUAGCUGGUUCUCCCCGAAAGCUAUUUAGGUAGCGCCUCGUGAAUUCAUCUCCGGGGGUAGAGCACUGUUUCGGCAAGGGGGUCAUCCCGACUUACCAACCCGAUGCAAACUGCGAAUACCGGAGAAUGUUAUCACGGGAGACACACGGCGGGUGCUAACGUCCGUCGUGAAGAGGGAAACAACCCAGACCGCCAGCUAAGGUCCCAAAGUCAUGGUUAAGUGGGAAACGAUGUGGGAAGGCCCAGACAGCCAGGAUGUUGGCUUAGAAGCAGCCAUCAUUUAAAGAAAGCGUAAUAGCUCACUGGUCGAGUCGGCCUGCGCGGAAGAUGUAACGGGGCUAAACCAUGCACCGAAGCUGCGGCAGCGACGCUGAUGCGUUGUUGGGUAGGGGAGCGUUCUGUAAGCCUGUGAAGGUGUGCUGUGAGGCAUGCUGGAGGUAUCAGAAGUGCGAAUGCUGACAUAAGUAACGAUAAAGCGGGUGAAAAGCCCGCUCGCCGGAAGACCAAG
rnacentral:rRNA from 1 species